rnacentral:lncRNA from 1 species
UUGUUAUUUGCAGACAUAGGUCCCCCUGCGUUUCAUUCUCUCUUUAAUUGUAUGUCAAGUGAUCACAAAUCUAGCAAGGGGUGGGAAUGAGCUGAAGAAUCAGACCCUAACCCUGUCUGUUUUCUGAUCGAUGCAAAGUAUAUUUGGACGGAGCUCCCUCCGAAGCUUCCGAAGGCACCGGGGCAAUCGAUGCCCCCGCGUCUCAGGGACCUCGGAGGCCUGAGCUUGGAGAGCAGCUGGGACGGAGCCUCAGCCCAGGGUUCCUGCCACGGGGGUCGUGGGACCCCGUGCAAACAUUGUCACCACUGUGCUAAUUUGAAAUAACAAUUAAUCUGAAAGAGAAGAUAAUCGGGGAUAUCUAACUUAAACAAAGAGACAGAGGAGCCGAUCCAAAAUUUUCGGCACGGGCGUCGGAGGAGAGCAGUGAUCAAAGGAGCCCCCGAACGUCGUGAAGGCCGCUUACUCUUCCAGCCCCCUGGCGAGCAGGCGCUAACAGCUCUGGGGAUAGAAAUACCAGGUGUACCCCCGACCGAAUUUGUCCCCCAAAAAGCACGCGCAGAAGCCUGCCCUGGUGACUGUAGAGGACAGGUCUCUCGGAGGUGAUCAAGGUUCAGUGAGGCCAUGAGCCUGCGGUCCUGAUCCCGUGGGACUGCGGCCGUUCGAGGAGAGGAAGGGAGAGAGGUGAGGACACAGUGAGAAGGCGGCCGUCCACAAUCUGGAACCCCGCCACGCCUCAACCCUGGCCCCGUCCUUCCGCCUCCAGAACCCAGACAUAAACCCGUGCUGUUCGAGCCGCCCCGGAGGUACUGUGGUCUGGCAACCAUAGAUGAUGGUUGGCAUGGAGAUCGCCACAAACAGCUCACCCCACACACAAAUGAGUGUGUGUGUAAAUUGCCUCUGUGUUGAUCUUCUUUUUCCCCUGAACCGCACAGUGAUUACCGCUUGCGUUGAGGAUCAUAAUGAGAAAUGAAUUUUUCUUUAUCUUCAUGGAAAAUCUUAUUAGCUGUAAUUGGAUAAAACCCAG